UUUAGAGUCCUUAAGGGUUCCAUAACCUUCCACAAUCUUCCAUAAUCUCCCAUAAUUUUCCACAAUCUCCCAUAAUCUUCCAUAACCUUCCACAAUCUUCCAUAAUCUCCCAUAAUUUUCCACAAUCUCCCAUAAUCUUCCAUAACCUUCCACAACCUUCCAUAACCUUCCAUAAUCUUCCAUAACCUUCCAAACCUUUCCAUAUUAUCAAGAGAGAAGACCAACAUCAAGACCCCAAGGAUAAUCCAUGGAAGGUAAUUUUUCUUGUUUCUCUUCAUGGUGGUGAUGAACUUGAUCUUGGAAAGAGUUGAAUAAAGUGAAGUUCUUCUACUAUAAGAUUACGAGACUACGAACGAUCAUAACUACAUUGCAAGACAAAAGGUAGAUUGGAAAGUCGGAAAGUGAGCUUCCAGGUGUGGACAGACGGGACAAGGAUAUUCCCCAAUAGGCUGCUUUCAGGUACCAGUCUUGAUUGGUGGGCUCCAUUUCUUCCUGGAGCAUUUUCGAGUCUGAGUUUUAUAUGUUUUUAUGACAAGAGGGUAUGUCGGGGGCCCUGUCUUGACUUGUGUACUUCAAUCAUGUUCCUAGAGGCUUUGCAGACAGAUUCCUGUGUACAGCUCAGUUAUGUUUUGUUAGUGGAUAUAUGGACGUCGCAGGCCCAUUGUAUAUAUACAUAUGCAUGCUAUUAUAUUCAUAGUUGGCCUUUUUGGCCUUAUUUUGCCGUUUGAGACAUAGAGGAUGCAAGUUACAGUUUGGUUCGCUCGACCCUAGUAAGGUGACGGGUGCCAGUCACGCCUUACCAGGGUAGGGGUGUGACAGUUUUCACCCUUUUUCAAAAUCUGCU